rnacentral:rRNA from 1 species
AUGGCCUGGACCGGAGACAACCUAGUCGACCUUAUCUCAGACAUCCUCGUGGCUCCACGCGAGGUACGCGCCCGUCGUCUUUCUCUCAGCACGCUUUGCCGUCACUCGGGCGACCGAGACCGCUACCCCAUCUUCGACCGCUGGUUCCGAUCGAAGGUUCUCGAUCAGCUCCAGGAUUUUCAUUUCAGCUACCAGCGGGUGAACAACACCGAACAACUUCAGGCUGGCGAGACGAUGCCGCCGUCCGCGCUGAGCUUUUCCUCCCUCCGUGUCGCCAGCUUUGGGUGCUGCCAUUUCCCUGAGAAUAUCUUAGCCUCGGGCGGCAUUACUUUCCCACAUCUCGUCGAGCUCAGUCUCUCCCGGAUCACAAACUCCGAGAACACACUCCACGCCAUGAUCGCCGCAUCUCCAAAUCUUUUCAGCUUGUACCUUCACAGAAACUAUCACUUCCGCCGCGUCCACAUCACCUCGCAAACUAUUGUAAGGUUCCGCAUGUUCAUUGACCCAGACAGUGAUGUGAUGGAAGAACUCCUCAUUGUCAACACUUCAAGCCUAGAGGAAGUGAUGCUCUGGGACCAAGGUUAUUCUGGCCCACGAAUCAUACGUGUCCUCGUUGCCCCAAAACUUCACAUGUUGGGUUGUCUGCACAGCGACAUGAUGUCCACCGUACAGCUUGGGAAGACAAUGCUCCAGGCAAUGGUUGACAGCAGUCCAGUGUCAUGCCUGCAUAAUGUAAAGAUCUUGAAGCUCGUUCUCCAUGGUCUUAGAUUAAAUCAUGUCAUUGACGUCCUCCAAUGCUUUCCCUGCUUACAACAGCUUCACAUAAAUACAUUGAUGAGCCAUGUUCCAAACAAGCAGAACGACAAUCCAGCUGCUACUACUGUUGAGUGUGUUGAUAGACAUUUAAAGCAAGUAGUAGUGAGAAAUUAUUCAGGCAAGAAACAUGAUUAUAACUUUGCCAAGUUUUUGUUUUGA